UGGCUUCAUUGGGAGAAAAUUCUAAACCUCCCAGCUUUUCCUCCUCAUUUAAAAUGACAUUAAAAUCUCCCCCAAUAAUCCAAGGACAUUGCACUCUCUCCGCUAUACUCUCUAAAUCCUCCCACAACUCCAGUCUCUCUAAAGCAUUGCACCUUGCAUACACAACCGAUAUAAUAAACUCCUUAUUGUUGUGUUUGAAUUGGAUAGUAACUUGUUGAAUGGUGUCCAACAAUAUACUGCCCAUCCACUCAUCUUUCCAAAAGUACCAGAUUUUGCCAUUACAAUUUGUUGUCGCCUUGUC
rnacentral:lncRNA from 1 species